UUGAGAUCCGAGUAUAAAGGGAAAAGAGAGAGGUUGACUUCAGAAAAGCCCACACUCGGUGUUGACCCGAGCCCAUGCUUCUCUCCCUCCCUCUCCGGCUGCCUCCUCUGCUCCGGCGUGGCGUCGCCAGUUCCGGCCGCCGCAUGCCAUGAAACCGCCACCAAUCUCUUCCUCUCUUUCUUCUCUACAAGACCCAGUCCUCAAAUCGCACAUUCUUCCACCUAUAGAGGAGAUCAAAGUCGACGAACACGACUGUGUUCGUCGGAUUCCGGCAAGCUCAGGCGACGAGGCGGCUACCGAUAGGUAGGGUUUUGUUCCUCUCCUCUUCUUCUUCAAUUUCAUGUCUUCAAUCCUUUGAACCAAGCCCCUAAUUCGAAAACCCCUUUUCUGAAAUUUUCUGGGUUUUGUCGAGGUUUUUCCGGCCUCGUGGUUUCGGCUCCAAGGAGGAUUUCGACUCUGACCUUAAUUCCGACGCCUCUAGAUGGCUUACUGGGUGAGAGGUGAUUGAGUGUUCGAGCUGGACAAGCCUGGGAAUGAAGAGUAGGUGAACGUAGCAAGAGACUGAUUUCGGUUAGUGAAGAGACGAUAUGAGUGACCUGGUGUAGCUGAUGCAUGUCGGAGGUGAAAGCAAGUAGAGGAGCAGUAGUGGGAGACUUGAUUGGUGUUGAGCUAUUCUUUGGGUGUAAAGAGUAGUUUUGGAGUUGGUCUCACACAAGUUGAUCACAAGUAGUAUAACUAGGAGCUCGUCGGAGGUGGGACAGAGCUAGCUGCUGCUCUAGGAAUCCAGUUUUGGAGUUUGAAGGCAUAUAAUAGGUGAAGCUGCUAGCGCUUUGAACGUCAAGGAACUUAAGAACCUAGAAGGAAUAUUGGAGAAAAGAAUCAACGAAAUAAGAUCCAAAAAGGAUAUAUUUUGGCAAGAGCCAUUGGAGGAGUUUGUUAUAGUGUUGACGAAGUGUUCAUUGUCCAGGGAAAAGAUUAUGUAGAUUUUCAUUUGAGUAUAGGUAUUGAGAAGUAUUGUAUUUUCAUUUGGUAGCUUGUACUUAACAUUUUUGCUGUGGUACAAUAUAGGACAAAAAACUGGGUCCCUAUUAGUAAAAACCAAAACCAGGGUAAAUAUUUCAAAACCCAAUUGGUAUUUUAUUGAAAUUUUUAAUU